GAUGAACGCUGGCGGUAUGCUUAACACAUGCAAGUCGAACGGACUCUUCGGAGUUAGUGGCGGACGGGUGAGUAACGCGUGAGAAUCUGGCUUUGGGUUCGGGACAACCACUGGAAACGGUGGCUAAUACCGGAUGUGCCGAGAGGUAAAAGAGAAAUUGCCUGAAGAUGAGCUCGCGUCUGAUUAGCUAGUUGGUGAGGUAAAGGCUCACCAAGGCAGCGAUCAGUAGCUGGUCUGAGAGGAUGACCAGCCACACUGGGACUGAGACACGGCCCAGACUAAUACGGGAGGCAGGGGUGGGGAAUUUUCCGCAAUGGGCGAAAGUGUGACGGAGCAAUACCGCGUGAGGGAAGAAGGCUCUUGGGUUGUAAACCUCUUUUCUUAGGGAAGAACAAAAUGACGGUACCUAAGGAAUCAGCAUCGGCUAACUCCGUG
rnacentral:rRNA from 1 species